CCCAGUUCUUGUAUGUCCAUGAACAUAGCCCAUAUUCUGUGUUUACAUUGGUUUACUAGGUCAUCUUUUUUUUUCUCCGCUGUCUUUCAAGUGAAUGUUUUACAAAUGACGCGUCGUUUCAACAAAAGGUUAGCGUGGAUAAAUAUUUAGCUAGCUAGCAAUACAACUGCUUAGUUAGUAGCUAGUAGUUGGCUCGUAGAUUUAGCACAAGCGGAAUGGCUAGUUAGCGAGCUUCGUCGAUGUGCAUAUAAGAGAAGCUAGGCAAUUUUGCUAGCUGUAUGUGAGAUUUUUUAGUUGUUGUUAUUCUAGUCAACUAGCGAGCAAACAAACAUUCAAAACGGACACUAACAAAUUGAUUGCCUUGCUCAAGUAUGGGGAUGUGCUUGCCGUGCCUUGGUGGAGCUGGAGACGACGUGGUACCGACACCAGACCCAGAGACGAGAAGACGUCAGCUAGCAGAGGCAGCUGAGAAGAGACAGAAAGAGACAACCUACAGGGGCGUCAAAAACCCAGAAGCAGUUGAGAGAAAGAAAAAGAAACAGGAGGAGAUGAACAAACAAGAGAUGACCACGUCUCCGUCUGGAGGAGGAGGAGGGCUGAAGGUGGGUCCUUUCAUCUAGAACACAGAUUAGGUGAUGUCUGGAGGAGGAGGAGGGCUGAAGGUGGGUCCUUUCAUCUAGAACACAGAUUAGGUGAUGUCUGGAGGAGGAGGAGGGCUGAAGGUGGGUCCUUUCAUCUAGAACACAGAUUAGGUGAUGUCUGGAGGAGGAGGAGGGCUGAAGGUGGGUCCUUUCAUCUAGAACACAGAUUAGGUGAUGUCUGGAGGAGGAGGAGGGCUGAAGGUGGGUCCUUUCAUCUAGAACACAGAUUAGGUGAUGUCUGGAGGAGGAGGAGGGCUGAAGGUGGGUCCUUUCAUCUAGAACACAGAUUAGGUGAUGUCUGGAGGAGGAGGAGGAGGGCUGAAGGUGGGUCCUUUCAUCUAGAACACAGAUUAGGUGAUGUCUGGAGGAGGAGGAGGGCUAAAGGUGGGUCCUUUCAUCUAGAACACAGAUUAGGUGAUGUCUGGAGGAGGAGGAGGGCUAAAGGUGGGUCCUUUCAUCUAGAACACAGAUUAGGUGAUGUCUGGAGGAGGAGGAGGGCUAAAGGUGGGUCCUUUCAUCUAGAAUACAGAUUAGGUGAUGUCUGGAGGAGGGCUGAAGGUGGGUCCUUUCAUCUAGAACACAGAUUAGGUGAUGUCUGGAGGAGGAGGAGGGCUAAAGGUGGGUCCUUUCAUCUAGAACACAGAUUAGGUGAUGUCUGGAGGAGGAGGAGGGCUAAAGGUGGGUCCUUUCAUCUAGAACACAGAUUAGGUGAUGUCUGGAGGAGGAGGAGGGCUGAAGGUGGGUCCUUUCAUCUAGAACACAGAUUAGGUGAUGUCUGGAGGAGGAGGAGGGCUAAAGGUGGGUCCUUUCAUCUAGAACACAGAUUAGGUGAUGUCUGGAGGAGGAGGAGGGCUGAAGGUGGAUCCUUUCAUCUAGAACACAGAUUAGGUGAUGUCUGGAGGAGGAGGAGGGCUGAAGGUGGGUCCUUUCAUCUAGAACACAGAUUAGGUGAUGUCUGGAGGAGGAGGAGGGCUGAAGGUGGGUCCUUUCAUCUAGAACACAGAUUAGGUGAUGUCUGGAGGAGGAGGAGGGCUGAAGGUGGGUCCUUUCAUCUAGAACACAGAUUAGGUGAUGUCUGGAGGAGGAGGAGGGCUAAAGGUGGGUCCUUUCAUCUAGAACACAGAUUAGGUGAUGUCUGGAGGAGGAGGAGGGCUGAAGGUGGGUCCUUUCAUCUAGAACACAGAUUAGGUGAUGUCUGGAGGAGGAGGAGGGCUAAAGGUGAGUCCUUUCAUCUAGAACACAGAUUAGGUGAUGUCUGGAGGAGGAGGAGGGCUAAAGGUGGGUCCUUUCAUCUAGAACACAGAUUAGGUGAUGUCUGGAGGAGGAGGAGGGCUGAAGGUGGAUCCUUUCAUCUAGAACACAGAUUAGGUGAUGUCUGGAGGAGGAGGAGGGCUGAAGGUGGAUCCUUUCAUCUAGAACACAGAUUAGGUGAUGUCUGGAGGAGGAGGAGGGCUGAAGGUGGGUCCUUUCAUCUAGAACACAGAUUAGGUGAUGUCUGGAGGAGGAGGAGGGCUGAAGGUGGGUCCUUUCAUCUAGAACACAGAUUAGGUGAUGUCUGGAGGAGGAGGAGGGCUGAAGGUGGGUCCUUUCAUCUAGAACACAGAUUAGGUGAUGUCUGGAGGAGGAGGAGGGCUGAAGGUGGGUCCUUUCAUCUAGAACACAGAUUAGGUGAUGUCUGGAGGAGGAGGAGGGCUGAAGGUGGGUCCUUUCAUCUAGAACACAGAUUAGGUGAUGUCUGGAGGAGGAGGAGGGCUGAAGGUGGGUCCUUUCAUCUAGAACACAGAUUAGGUGAUGUCUGGAGGGGGAGGAGGGCUGAAGGUUGGUCCUUUCAUCUAGAACACAGAUUAGGUGAUGUCUGGAGGAGGAGGAGGGCUGAAGUGGCAGGUGGGCUAAAGAUCGACGGACAUGGAGAGAUUAUGAAAGUCUCAAUCUACACUGAGGUUCAGCCAACAACAUGAAGAGUAUUGGUACCAGUUGACUUGAAAAUGCCUUUUUGGGCUGUCUGUCCUUCUAAAAAUGUUUUAUUUUAAAUACAAGCUUUUUCAGAUGCAGUAGGAUAGUUUGCCAUGCUUCGCCUUGGUAGAAAGAAAGAUUCUGCUGCUCGAUGUUGGCCGUGUGCAGCGCAGUACAUGCCUCUCCUAAUGCCAAGAUGUACACGAGAUAUGGAUCUUUGGAACGGACAGGGUGACUAUGACACAGCUAUGAGUAGCAUACAGUAUACACACUCACAGUACAUCUAUAAACUGUACCAGGCGUCUUGCCAAUCACUUUCUCUACUCUCUCCCCCCUUCUCUCUCUCUCCAUCUACUAGUCCUCUGCUCUACUCUCUCCCCCCUUCUCUCUCUCUCCAUCUACUAGUCCUCUGCUCUCUCUCUCCCCCCUUCUCUCUCUCUCCAUCUACUAGUCCUCUGCUCUCUCUCUCCCCCGUUCUCUCUCUCUCUCGCUCUCUCCACCUUUUCUCUCUCUCUCUUUUUCUCUGCCAUUUCAACUUUGCAGAUUUUAUACAAUUUUGCUUACUGCUUUUGUAAUUUUUUUCUGACAUUUAAAACUUUUUACGGAAUGUUCUCAUUCUUGUGACAGUUUAUAUGAUAGAUUUCUCCUAAAAAAGGAUAUACGCUACAAAGUCCUUAAUGUUCAACAUAGGCCUAGAUGAUUCAUAAAACAUUUUCUAUUGUAUAUCAGUGUGAAAAUUAACUAAAUUUUUAUAUAACUACUUAUGAACCACAUUUGAAUGCUGUUUUAGAGUUCACGCACCAACACUAUCUAUCUAUUCAGUUGACAUUUUACUUUAGGUUUUGGUUUUCCUAUUGUCUGUGCAAUAGGAGUUAUUUGCUCCACUUUAGUAUUGGUUUGUAAUGUACGAAGGAUGUUUAUCUUGAUCUCUGCUUUAUUUAAUAUAAUAAAAUUGUUGACGGAUUGACGUGUUGUAUGGGUAGUUGGCUGUAUCUCGUAGAUUUUGAGUAUUCCCAUUUCAACCUGUGCAUGUACUGGAAUAUUGUCGACAUGACACAAUGUUUAUGCAUUCUGUCGGUACGAUGGUAACAUAUAGGACUGAGUCGAUUUUUGUCGACUGGCCUUACCUGUCGACCACAAUGAGAACUUAACUGAAAUGGAAGGAAAGAAGCAUGCCUGAACUAGCAGGGCGCUAGUGUGUACUUGAUGAAGUAUUGAUUUUUACCUGCCUUGCUUUGUACUCGAGUGCUUUUCCUCCCUAUUCCCUUACUGCUUCAGGUGCUCUUGCCAUUUUCAGGGGCAUGAAGUCACGCCAAUGUAAUUUUGUAGAAAUAAAAGACUCUUGUUGA